ACAGCCUCGGUUAUUUGAAUUAAACAAUUUCCUUAUUCAUUUUUAGCUAGAGACGUCACUUUUAGGGUUUGAUUCUUGGGCGUGUUUUAACAUUCUAAAUAUUAAAACACCAAUAAUUCCAAUACCAAUUGAACGCCGCAGCAACAGCAGCAGCAGCGGCAAAAGGCUUUAGCCUUAUUGCUAGCAACAGGUUGAAGCCAUCCCUGAAACACACCGGAUUGUAGCUGAGCAAACAAACACGAGCCAACCACUGAACCAAUCGGCAGGGCCGCUGAUGUGAUUGACAGAGAGGAGAAGCCAAUCAGCAGGAGGACCUGGACAAGGAGAGACGGGGGGGGCGAGCUGGAGCUGUGGGUGGACGCACCUGGGAUUUGGAGUCCCCCAGAUCAUUAUUGGCUCGAAGAAGCGAAGCGGAGACAUGAACAAAAACAGCAACAUCACUGAGAAGGAGACGAGAUGUUGACCCAGUUGUUUGGACAAAACCAGUGGACUGAAUCAGUAGCUGCAUGUGAGACCCACUCUGACCCGGCUGCAGCAUGUCUCCCUGCAUCCCACCUCCGUGUUUAUCAUCCCAGCAUUUGCCUGAAUUCCCUUCAGAGAGCGACUGUUUGGUUUGGAGAGGCAAAGGAAAACAGCGAUGUUGAAGACACCCCCCACAGGCAGCGCAGAUGGAUCACAGAGGCUUUCAUUUGGACCGAAGGGAUGUCACGCACACAACACGCAGAGGUAUUCACCUAUGUAAAAUGGUGUGUUGCGAAAACACACGUCUUCUGUCUUUUACGGAGACUGGGAUGAUCCAAAAACACGAGGCGCACACAAACACCUUUGAAAGCAGCGCGGCGAGAAGCAAAGGUCAGUUUAGUCUGAGGGAGACAGACGUGGGGGCGUUCGCGAGUUGAUUGUUUGAGAAAUAACAAGGCGUCCAGACGAUGCUGGACGAACCUCUGCAGCAGCAGCAGCAGCAGCGGCAGCAGCAUUCUUCUGGGAAAAAAAACACCAAACCCGGCAGAGAUUAUAAACAACAAAGCCUCGAAACACAGCCAGGGAUCCACUCGCUACUGGAAAUCAAUAUUCCCAAUUUUAAGGAAGCGCUUCCUGCUUCCCGAACACGUGGGUCCAUAAACGCGUCCACGCCCAAAGCUCUGACGUUUUCACCUCCUCUCGUAAUUUGGCCCCUUCCACUGCGACUCAGGUGUGUGGAGACAAAAAGAGAGGGAGCACCAGAAAUUUGACAGCGUAUGCAUUGGGUUUAAGUUAUUCUUCCAUUUAAAUGAGCCACCGUGUGUUUUUGUAUCAUCGCACGCAUCAGUGGAAUCAGGGCAUCCGGCGAGUCUUUCAGUCUCACAUUAUUAGAUUUUUUUUCUUUUCACAUUCAAACCUGAGGCUCUGAAUUUAAUUCAUGUCAAUCAAAGGCCGGGUAAGAAUUCCUCCGUAGGGUUGUUUCCUAGAAGUUCUCACCAGCGCACGAAUAAACUACUUCAGCAAUUUAUGAUCAGCCGACUUUCAGCUACAUUACCACACAGUAACAUAACUUUGGGAAAAAUGAAAAAUUAAUAGCGCACGCUGUGAUAGAUUACCUCCACUCUGGGAAGUGUCAGCUCUGGGGAGGUUCAUUUUCACUGCACAUCUCUCAAUCACUAGGUACAUAUUAAUUUUUUAAACCACACAGAGGUCAAUUUAUAAUUUAAAACGGCCUCCUUUUCCUUUUUCUUCCUAAUUUGUUGGGUUUUCUGGCUCGGUACCGCUGGCAGGGUUGACUUGCGUGGAUUUGAUUUGUCUGAUAUUUAGCCAUUAUAGUAUUUUCAUUCUAUAUCUACAAUACUGCAUAUACACAUA